rnacentral:tRNA from 1 species
GGUUGUAUGGUGUAGUGGUUAGCACUCCAGAUUCUGAUCAGUGAUUUCUGGCGACUUGGGUUCAAUUCCCAAUACGACCU